rnacentral:misc_RNA from 1 species
GUGAGUCAUCGAAUCUUUGAACGCACAUUGCGCCCAUUAGUAUUCUAGUGGGCAUGCCUGUUCGAGCGUCAUUUCAACCCUCAAGCUCUGCUUGGUGUUGGGGCGUCUGCAGCUCCGGCUGCAGGCCCUGAAAAACAGUGGCGGGCUCGCUAUAACUCCGAGCGUAGUAAUCUCUCUCGCUUAGGAAGUACGGCGGGCAUCCGGCCGUUAAACCCCCCAAUUUCUGAACGUUGACCUCGGAUCAGGUAGGAAUACCCGCUGAACUUAAGCAUAUCAAUAAGCGGAGGA